AAGUGUGCAAAUUAAACUUUUAACAUCUACGUGUAGGAAUCCCGUUCUGCUUCCAGAAGUGGAAGUGCUCACGGAUCGGGGAAAUCUGCAAGGCAUACCCCUGCAAGGUCUCGCUCCAAGGAAGAUUCCAGGCGUUCCAGAUCAAAGUCCAGGUCCCGAUCUGAAUCUAGGUCUAGAUCCAGAAGAAGCUCCCGAAGGCAUUAUACCCGGUCACGGUCUCGCUCCCGCUCCCAUAGACGAUCACGUAGCAGGUCUUACAGUCGAGAUUAUCGUAGACGGCACAGCCACAGCCAUUCUCCCAUGUCUACUCGCAGGCGUCAUGUUGGGAAUCGGGUAAGAUGAAAAACUGGUUUUGAAGCAGUCAACUGCCUAAAUUUACUUUUUCUUAAAGUUAGAGCUGAUUUUGACAAUAGAGCUUUAGCAGUUGGUGCGUGAGUGAAAUCUUCAGAGGCUUUUUUAGUGUUUUGAGAGAGUCUUUUAAGUUAAUCUUCCAUGACGGGGUCUGCAUUUGGGCUGCCUGUCAAUUAAGCAUAAUACUGACACAAUGGUGUAACUCCUUAGCCCAUC
rnacentral:lncRNA from 1 species